UAGGGAAUCUUCGGCAAUGGACGAAAGUCUGACCGAGCAACGCCGCGUGAGUGAAGAAGGUUUUCGGAUCGUAAAACUCUGUUGUUAGAGAAGAACAAGGACGUUAGUAACUGAACGUCCCCUGACGGUAUCUAACCAGAAAGCCACGGCUAACUACGUGCCAGCAGCCGCGGUAAUACGUAGGUGGCAAGCGUUGUCCGGAUUUAUUGGGCGUAAAGCGAGCGCAGGCGGUUUCUUAAGUCUGAUGUGAAAGCCCCCGGCUCAACCGGGGAGGGUCAUUGGAAACUGGGAGACUUGAGUGCAGAAGAGGGGAGUGGAAUUCCAUGUGUAGCGGUGAAAUGCGUAGAUAUAUGGAGGAACACCAGUGGCGAAGGCGGCUCUCUGGUCUGUAACAGACGCUGAGGCUCGAAAGCGUGGGGAGCAAACAGG
rnacentral:rRNA from 1 species